rnacentral:rRNA from 1 species
GAGUGAAGCGGCAAUAGCUCAAAUUUGAAAUCUGGCCCUCGUGGUCCGAGUUGUAAUUUGUAGAGGAUGCUUUUGGUGCGGUGCCUUCCGAGUUCCCUGGAACGGGACGCCAGAGAGGGUGAGAGCCCCGUACGGUUGGACGCCUAACCUAUAUAUAGCUCCUUCGACGAGUCGAGUAGUUUGGGAAUGCUGCUCUAAAUGGGAGGUAAAUUUCUUCUAAAGCUAAAUACCGGCCAGAGACCGAUAGCGCACAAGUAGAGUGAUCGAAAGAUGAAAAGCACUUUGAAAAGAGGGUUAAAUAGCACGUGAAAUUGUUGAAAGGGAAGCGUUUGCGACCAGACCUUUUCCAGUGAGGAUCAUCCGGUAUUCGUACCGGUGCACUUGUCCUGGAUUAGGCCAGCAUCGGUUUUCUUAGGGGGAUAAAGGCUUGGGGAACGUAGCUCUUCAGGGAGUGUUAUAGCCCCUUGCGUAAUACCCCUCGGGGGACCGAGGACCGCGCUCUGCAAGGAUGCUGGCGUAAUGGUCGUCAACGACCCGUCUUGAAACACGGACCAAGGAGUCGAACAUUUGUGCGAGUGUUUGGGUGUUAAACCCUCACGCGUAAUGAAAGUGAACGUAGGUGAGAGCCCUCACGGGUGCAUCAUCGACCGAUCUUGAUGUCUUCGGAUGGAUUUGAGUAAGAGCAUAACUGUUCGGACCCGAAAGAUGGUGAACUAUGCGUGGAUAGGGUGAAGCCAGAGGAAACUCUGGUGGAGGCUCGCAGCGGUUCUGACGUGCAAAUCGAUCGUCAAAUCUGCGCAUGGGGGCGAAAGACUUAUCGAACCAUUAAAACCAGCGGUAAAUUCUUAAUUUACUAGGUGGUUAAGAGGUCCCCUGGGAGGGGGGCCUAGGUCUAAUGUGCCAGUUUACCCUAUAGCUACCCUACAGCUACCCUAUAGCUACCCUGCAGCCACCCUGCAGCUACCCUAUAGCUACCCUGUAGCUACCCUAUAGGCACUUUGGAGCUACCCUAUACCUACCCUGGAGCUACCCUGUAGCUACCCUGGGAGGAGGGUACCCUGGAGUGCUGGCGCGGCCGACACCGCUAAAUUGCGGGAAAGUCCUAGAAAAGGCCGCAGGCUACCGCCGGGCGUUGAAAAACGCACCGGCACCAAGAAUAGCGCUCUUGGGUACGGUAAAAACGCCUGUGGUAGCGGACGACCUGCAGCCAACCCCGUUAGGUGCGAGGGGAGAGUUCACUGACUAAAUAGCGGUGGGUUAGCGUGCUCGCUAGCCUAAGACAUAGUCGAUCCGGCGCCUGAAAAGGCGCCUACCCUAUAGGUGUUUACCCUAUAGAUA